rnacentral:rRNA from 1 species
UACGUAGGGGGCUAGCGUUAUCCGGAAUUACUGGGCGUAAAGGGUGCGUAGGUGGUUUCUUAAGUCAGAGGUGAAAGGCUACGGCUCAACCGUAGUAAGCCUUUGAAACUGGGAAACUUGAGUGCAGGAGAGGAGAGUGGAAUUCCUAGUGUAGCGGUGAAAUGCGUAGAUAUUAGGAGGAACACCAGUUGCGAAGGCGGCUCUCUGGACUGUAACUGACUCUGAGGCACGAAAGCGUGGGGAGCAAACAGG